rnacentral:rRNA from 1 species
GUACACUCCUACGGGAGGCAGCAGUGGGGAAUUUUGGACAAUGGGCGAAAGCCUGAUCCAGCAAUGCCGCGUGAGUGAAGAAGGCCUUCGGGUUGUAAAGCUCUUUUGUCAGGGAAGAAACGGUGAAAGCUAAUAUCUUUUGCUAAUGACGGUACCUGAAGAAUAAGCACCGGCUAACUACGUGCCAGCAGCCGCGGUAAUACGUAGGGUGCAAGCGUUAAUCGGAAUUACUGGGCGUAAAGCGUGCGCAGGCGGUUUUGUAAGUCUGAUGUGAAAUCCCCGGGCUCAACCUGGGAAUUGCAUUGGAGACUGCAAGGCUAGAAUCUGGCAGAGGGGGGUAGAAUUCCACGUGGAGCAGUGAAAUGCGUAGAUAUGUGGAGGAACACCGAUGGCGAAGGCAGCCCCCUGGGUCAAGAUUGACGCUCAUGCACGAAAGCGUGGGGAGCAAACAGGAUUAGAUACCCCAGUAGUCCC